GAGCCAGCGGUGGGGUCCCCUCGCCCAGGCCUGCCCCAGCUUCUUGGGAUAGAUGGGAGGCUGAGGACCAGAAGGGGCUGAGACCACCCCAAUUUCCCCAGCGAGGUGGCGCCUGAGCCACGGCCAGGCCGGCCUCCUUCCACCCGGCCCUGCUGCGCGCGAGGCGGGUGCUGACCUGGCGAGGCCGGACAGGGACCAGGUCGGGGUGAAGGUAACUGACACCUGGACUUGUGGCCAGUCCUCGUUGUGAUCGGAGUGGGAGGCCCACGGGAGACAUCAACACAGAAGACUCCCACGACUGCUGGGGCCCAAUGUGGGGGGUGGAAGUCUCCCCGCCACCAAGCAAGCCGUCAGUUCUGCAGCGGACACCAGCUGGGUGUCCAACACCAUUCCAACACUGUACCUGGAGACAGCGUCAGAUCCCACAGCGUGAGCGCUCAGCCCCGAGACACCUACACACACACACACCCCCCAGCUGGGUGUCCAACACCAUUCCAACACUGUACCUGGAGACAGCGUCAGAUCCCACAGCCGUGAGCACUCAGCCCCGAGACACCUACACACACACACACACCCCAGCUGGGUGUCCAACACCAUUCCAACAUUGUACCUGGAGAUAGCGUCAGAUCCCACAGCGUGAGCGCUCAGCCCCGAGACACCUACACACACACACACACACACACACACCCCAGCUGGGUGUCCUCCAACACCAUUCCAACACAGUACCUGGAGAUAGCGUCAGAUCCCACAGCGUGAGCGCCAGCCCCGAGACACCUACACACACACACACACCAGCUGGCUGUCCUCCAACACCAUUCCAACACUGUACCUGGAGAUAGCGUCAGAUCCCACAGCGUGAGCGCUCAGCCCCGAGACACCUACACACACACACACACACACACACACACACACACACCAGCUGGCUGUCCUCCAACACCAUUCCAACACUGUACCUGAGAUGGGUCGUCCCACAGCGUGAGCGCUCAGCCCCGAGACACCUACACACACACACACACACACACACACACCCCCCAGCUGGGUGUCCUCCAACACCAUUCCAACACUGUACCUGGAGAUAGCGUCAGAUCCCACAGCGUGAGCUGCCAGCCCCGGUGACACCUACACACACACACACACACACACACACACACCCACCCCAGCUGCGAGGGCCAGCCUCUAGAACUUCUUGCCGACUGGCCCGAUGUUGAGGUUCCCACUGUCAGAGGAACCCCUGCUCACCAGGCCUCUGGUUUAGUGAAACAUGACCAGAGUGACUCCAUCUUGAAGUAAGUAGGAGGCACUCACAAGGCACCUAUAAGGUUAAUGCUUAUGGUCUAAAAAUAGCCACGUCUCAAGCUGGCCACCAAUUAUAAUGACAGAAUAUUUAUGGCCAUAUGGGGCAUCUCCCAGCAAGCCUGCAGACUGUCCAGAUAACCCGAGAGUGCAGGCCACGUUACUCAGAGAUAAUGUCAGUGAGCAGCCUGAGGUUGGAGGAUGAACGGUCACUGAUGGCACCCACAGCCCCUAUCUUUAGUGAGCGCAUCUGCACAUUCCAGGAGUGAUUGCAGCUCCUUACAGUUUCUUGUAAGCAGAGGCACUAACAGAGGACCCGCCCUCCUUCUCCUGCUUUCUGAGCACGCCCCACUCUAGAACGGAGUCAUUUCAAAUAAACCUGCGUCUCUCACUGUG
rnacentral:lncRNA from 1 species